rnacentral:misc_RNA from 1 species
GAUGAAGAACGUAGCGAAAUGCGAUAAGUAAUGUGAAUUGCAGAAUUCAGUGAAUCAUCGAAUCUUUGAACGCACAUUGCGCCCGCUAGUAUUCUGGCGGGCAUGCCUGUCCGAGCGUCAUUUCAACCCUCAAGCCCCCGGGCUUGGUGUUGGGGAUCGGCUAGCCUCCGCGCCCGCCGUCCCCUAAAUCUAGUGGCGGUCUCGCUGUAGCUUCCUCUGCGUAGUAGCACACCUCGCACUGGGAAACAGCGCGGCCACGCCGUUAAACCCCCAACUUCUGAACGUUUGACCUCGGAUCAGGUAGGAAUACCCGCUGAACUUAAGCAUAUCAAUAAGCGGAGGA